UUUACUGUGUGUGUACAGAAAACCUGGGUCACGUGUGUGCAGUAUUGUGGCAGCAGCAGCUUUAGUCUAACCAAUGGGGAUUCAUGAGAACAAGGCGGUGUUCCAAAACAUAGCGAGUCGCCUAACUGACUUGGCCUAACUAGACAGAGUUUGUAGUGCUUUUUGAAUUUAGUUCAAAAUUCUACACAGCACGUUCGAGAGCGGUUAAGUUCAUUUAGCUGAACGGAUUCUGAGCACGCCCUUGGUGCUAAAACUGCGGUCUACUCAGGCGGCUCAGUACGUUUGGAAACACAGUCUGCGUGUUUUUCCCCUUGCCUUCAUUUUUGUUCCACCCUUCUGGGCUACUUGGACAGGACAUUAAAAAAAAUUACAUAAAAGUAAACAUCUUAGGUACGAACAGUCCGAGGUAGCCCGAGGUCUUGGUUUCCUUUUAGAUAUCGCUAUUGUGUGUUCAAAUAACAUUUCAGUUCACCUCAAACAACUUUAAACAGAUUUGCUCUCUUCUUAAGACUUUUAAACAUUUAUUAGGUAUUGGAAUUACCUUGGGUAGUUUUACAUAACUUCGUACCCUUGCCAGGGUAAAAGUGUAGCUUGAAUGUACUCACAAGUAUACAUGUUAAACGAAAAUAUACGUACUUUGCUGUCAUUUCUAUUGAACUUUCUAUGUCAUUAUAAUGUGUUUGUAAUGACAAAAGUGCACUCUGUGUUAGAAAACAUCAUUAUGAAGUACUCAACAAGCAUAGUAUACUUAAAUGGGAAGCUUACAGACCACCUUGGUUUGGCAUCCAUGUUUCCAAAACAUAUUGAAUAUUUAAAACUGGAUUGUCCAGCUGGGUGGCCUAUGAUGAUUUAGUAACUGAACGUCACACAUAUGAAUAUAAAACACUGUGAGUGUUAUGGAUUCCUCUUCUAACCAGCUAAGCUGAAAUGAAGAAACUCCACAUGAUGGCACAAUUUCUUACAAUAACAGACGGUCACUGACUGUGACUUACUAGCUGCCCUAAAAAACUACUCCGUUUAAUAGCAGUUGUUUUCAACAUCACAACGCCAUCUAGUGGUUAAUCAAGUUACACGCAAUAUGCCUAGAAUUUAUGUGAAGACGAAAGAAUGAUUUCUUCAAAGUGUUCACUAGAUGGCUCCAGAGUUUAGCCUAAACGUUCAGAUAAUAAAAAAAUAAAAAAUAAAUAUGUAUAUUACCCAGAUAAUGGUGUGAGUGAGCUAGAUUCCAGUGAUGAAAUGAAUGAGGGAGGUGAUAUAAACCUGUGAUGAAAUAUAUGAGAUUAAAGGUAAUUUCCCUUUUGUAACAGAUACUCAGGAAUUCUUUCUCAAUCAGUUCCCUGGGUUACAAGGUUUAUUUUAAGUGAAAACACUGUGGUGCAGUUUGGGAAUAUUGUGGUUUGUAUAUCAUAUACACAGCUACAUGUGACGAUAGUCACUCCCAUCUCAAACAGUUUUAUGAGCUCGUAUAAACUGGGCGACUACAUGGAAUAUUUGUACUUCUAGUCUCAAUUGUCUACUAAUUUGGCCAACUAAAUAAAGGAGAUUCCUGUAACUGUGGACUACAACAUCCAUGCUCCAGAUACAGUGGGUGGUCCCUUUGCUCUGUCAUCUUCUCAGAAUUCUUCCCCACUGAUAACCUUCCUCUGUCAGAAGCACUCAGGUCAAUGACAUUAUUCUAACAUGCUGAGUUAACCAUGUUAAUGACAGAUACUCAAGCAAAGAAAUACGUUAGCAAUUCCUUCAUCACAGAAGCUGUUUUUCCUUUUUUGUUGUUGUUGUUGUUGUUGUUGCCCAGAAUCUGCAUAUAAGCCAUGGUAUUCAGAGACAAAAAAAAAGUUGGAAAGACUAUUGUGUUGGACAGACAAAGUCAAAUAUCAGCAUUAAACAUCAAUAAAACAAGACUUUCACUUUUCAUUCCUAAUUUGACAGAUCCUCAAUUGGUUGCGCAUUCGGUGUUGUUUUAUUACUUCCUCAGUCUCAUGACGCACCAAAAUAACACAGCUUUUCACAGUGUCUUUUGAGGCUGCGCUGUCACGAGCAACAAUAAUGUAACUCUCGGCCAGGUUAAUCUUAUCCCAGAAUCAGUGGAGCAGAGCACAGACCUCAGACUCUCUGUCCCUGUGUGUGAAAUGCAGCACUUCCUGUGUUUGUGUGGGGUUUCCUCCCCCUGAAGUGAUUUUGGCACCUUAUUGUGAGUCAUGAUGCACACGUUAUGGCAACAGCUUCACUAUGAUUUAAGGAAAAGAACAAAAAUAUUGCUGAUGGUUUUCUAACAGCUGGUGGUUGGGAAUAUGAACCUGGGAGAACUGGGAUCUUGUGGAACCGAAAGUGAAAGAGCCUAAUCGGAGUGAUGGAUAGCUGCUUCUGCCCUAACGUCACCCAGUCUGACGCUGAGCGUUCUUGUUGUUGCUUCUCCGUGGUCAAGAGGGCAGAGGUGGCUGGGCAGAGGGAGAUCUGCGGUCAGAUCGUAGGAUUGAUGAGUGAGUUUCUUGGGGGAACUGUGAGGACGUCUAUCUCCUGCCCACCCGAGGGCCACAGCAGCCCUACAUCAAACACACCAGCUCCACUGUGAUGUAUGACGGCUGCGCUGCACUUUCAACCAGAGUCGAGAAGGUCCAUCAAGGGAUUUAUCUCAAGGGAGGAUGAAAGGAGAAGCAGAGGCGUCUGCCAAACAAAGGAUCAUGGGGGCCAACAGUACAGGUCAGGCCUGGCCCUCAAACUGGAGAGAUUCAUAUUAGUCCACUUUAGCUGAAGACACAUUCUGGGCAGAGAUGGGUUUAGUGGAGACUAAAUAUUGGGAAAGUAUUGAUAAUAUUAAAAUUUGUGUAUGGAAUACUUUUUCCCCAGACUGUUCAGUAAUACAUUGGUUAUUGAUGUGACAGAUGAAAAUUCAAUUCAUUUAUACAAUGACUGUUACUCUAUAAAGCCUACUGUAUCAUACAUCACUUCUUGGUCCUCUUAAAGAAACGAAAAUACUGGAGAAAUAUCUUGUACUAAAUAUAUUGCAUGCUUUCGGAUUUGUGGUUCAUAUUUUUUUAGCAAGUAAAAAUCCUUUUAAUAUCAUUCUAAAACUUUUUUUAGAAUUUUGAUUUGAUUUACUAAUGUAAAUUUAAGAAUACUUUUUUAUAUUGUUAAUAAUUUCAUUCGAUUUUUUUUAUUAUUAUUAUUUUAUCUUACCAUUUACUUGAUUAACCAUAUAUAAUUUUUAAGAAAAUUCAUAUUUAAAAAGUCAGUAUCAAAUAGGAUAUUUGAGGAUUUUGGAGAAUGCGUAUUUGUACUCAAAUACCUUUUAUUUUUUUAUUUAUUUAUUUCAUCAUAAAACUAAGCAUUUAGAUAUCAUCUCAUUCACAAUGACUGACCACUGAUAUGUAUAUACUUUACUUUGGCCAUGUAAAUAUCAGCAACUGUACCAGAUUUUAAUUUUUUUCUCAGUUUGGGCCUCUGAAUAAAAUUAAGAUGUUUAUUUGCUCCGUGAGUAUUAACAUAUUCUCUUACUAAAUGAGACAUAAUAGUAAAAAAUAUGAUACCCAACAAAGAACAUAUGGUACAUAUAUAUAUAUAUAUAAAUAAAACUCUGAACUAUAUAAAACCUGAAUACAAAAAGUACAAGUUCUAAGAACUUGGAAAAUGCUUGAAAAACUAGAUAAAAAAAAAUAAGUAAAAUAAAUAAAUAAUAAUAAUAAUUGGCCUUUCUUAAAGGGAUAGUUCACCCAAAAAUCUAAAUAAUGUCAUUAAUAACUCACCCUCAUGUCGUUCCAAACCAGUAAGACCUCCUUUUAUCUUCGGAACACAGUUUAAGAUAUUUUAGAUUUAGUCCGAGAGCUCUCAGUCCCUCCAUUGAAACUGUGUGUACGGUAUACUGUCCAUGUCCAGAAAGGUAAGAAAAACAUCUUCAAAGUAGUCCAUGUGACAUCAGAGGGUCAGUUAGGAUUUUUUGAAGCAUCGGAAAUACAUUUUGGUCCAAAAAUAGCAAAAACUAUGACUUUAUUCAGUAUUGUCUUCUCUUCCGUGUCUGUUGUGAGAGAGUCCAAAACAAAGCAGUUUGUGAUAUCUGGUUCGCGAACGAAUCAUUCAAUGUAACCGGAUCUUUUUGAACUAGUUCAACAAAUCGAACUGAAUCGUUUUAAACCGUUCAUGUUUUCAAUAAGCAUUAAUCCACAAAUGACUUAAGCUGUUAACUUUUUUUGUUAACUUUUUGCUGUUAACACAAAUGACUUAAGCUGUUUAGCACCCUAAAGUUAAAACGAGAGUUUUAGAACAAGAGAGUUAAAACAAACCAAUAUCCCAGAGUAAUUCAUUUACUCAAACAGUACACCGACUGAACUGCUGUGAAGAGAGAACUGAAGAUGAAGAUGAACUAACCCUUUAAUCAUGGACACAUUUUAUGAAACCAAAUUCACUAUUUCACAAAUUCAUAAAUUCAUCUUACACUCAGAUCAAGCAGCAGUAAAGCAUCAUAUUAUUAGUGAUAUAAACAUUGCCAUUGCAAUGUGAUCAUUCAACAUUUAGGAAACCGUCCCACCUUCCCCCCAAUAUAAGCCCCCCCAAAACACACAAAUCUGACAUGUUCCUGGAAUGAGUCUGAAUUCCUUGAAAAUUAGAUUAUCAGAUCAUUUUAAAAACUCCAACUGACCAGUUUCUACUUAAAGGUUUAAUAGUUCAUAGUUAAUCAUUCAGUUUUAGAAUCAUUAUUAUUUAAUUGUAAAAUAAUGUAAAAAUCAUUAUCUUAUAAUAAAAUUAUGAAAAGAGUUUGUGUAAAAGAAGCUUGGGCAGUUUGUGGGGGAAAAACAUCUGGAAUUAAACUGCAUAAUAACAAAUGUAUUAUGUAAAAUAUUCAUCAUUGAUGAGAAUAAAAUGAAACAAUACUAAAUUUC